GGGGAUGUAGCUCAGUGGUAGAGCGCAUGCUUUGCAUGUAUGAGGUCCCGGUUCAAUCCUGGCAUCUCAA
rnacentral:tRNA from 1 species